CCCACCCCCAGGGGGGUAUGUGUGGUUUUUGUGUCACAUGUGUGUCAGUAGGUGGCAGAGAGGAGAAAGGCUAUAUCUACACUGUGUUCUGAUCUGUGAACAUCUGAAUGAUUAGUAGUGUAACACU